GAUGAACGCUAGCGGCAGGCCUAACACAUGCAAGUCGAGGGGCAGCACAGAAACAGCAAUGUUUUGGUGGCGACCGGCGGACGGGUGCGUAACGCGUAUGCAACCUACCUUUAACAGGGGGAUAACGGAGAGAAAUUUCCACUAAUACCCCAUAACAUCGAUCAAGGCAUCUUGAUUGGUUGAAAACUCCGGUGGUUAAAGAUGGGCAUGUGUUGUAUUAGGUAGUUGGUGAGGUAAUGGCUCACCAAGCCUACGAUACAUAGGGGACUGAGAGGUUAGCCCCCCACACUGGUACUGAGACACGGACCAGACUCCUACGGGAGGCAGCAGUGAGGAAUAUUGGUCAAUGGGGGCAACCCUGAACCAGCCAUGCCGCGUGCAGGAGGACGGCUCUAUGAGUUGUAAACUGCUUUUAAACAGGGAUAAAGCACAGUAUGUAUACUGUGUUGAAGGUACUGUAAGAAUAAGGAUCGGCUAACUCCGUGCCAGCCGCCGCAGUAA
rnacentral:rRNA from 1 species